UACGUAGGGGGCAAGCGCUGUCCGGAAUCAUUGGGCGUAAAGCGCGUGUAGGCGGCUUGGUAAGUCCGUUCUGAAAGCCCGGGGCUCAACCCCGGGAGGCGGAUGGAUACUGUCAAGCUUGAGUCCGGAAGAGGCGAGUGGAAUUCCCGGUGUAGCGGUGAAAUGCGCAGAUAUCGGGAGGAACACCAAUGGCGAAGGCAGCUCGCUGGGACGUGACUGACGCUGAGACGCGAAAGCGUGGGGAGCAAACAGG
rnacentral:rRNA from 1 species